rnacentral:miRNA from 1 species
CACCGGCUCACAGCUAGUACGG